rnacentral:tRNA from 1 species
GCGCCCAUCGUCUAGCGGUUAGGACGCCGCCCUCUCACGGCGGUAACACGGGUUCGAGUCCCGUUGGGCGUGCCA